ACGGGUGAGUAACACGUGACUAACCUACCCUGGAGUGGGGGAUAACUGAGGGAAACCUUAGCUAAUACCGCAUAAUACCCACGGGUCAAAGGAGCAAUUCGCUCUGGGAGGGGGUCGCGGCCGAUUAGUUAGUUGGCGGGGUAAUGGCCCACCAAGACGAUGAUCGGUAUCCGGCCUGAGAGGGCGCACGGACACACUGGAACUGAAACACGGUCCAGACUCCUACGGGAGGCAGCAGUGGGGAAUUUUGCGCAAUGGGGGAAACCCUGACGCAGCAACGCCGCGUGGAGGAUGAAGUCCUUCGGGACGUAAACUCCUUUCGAUCGGGACGAUAAUGACGGUACCGGAAGAAGAAGCCCCGGCUAACUUCGUGCCAGCAGCCGCGG
rnacentral:rRNA from 1 species